rnacentral:rRNA from 1 species
GAUGAACGCUGGCGGCGUGCCUAAUACAUGCAAGUCGAGCGAACAGACGAGGAGCUUGCUCCUCUGACGUUAGCGGCGGACGGGUGAGUAACACGUGGAUAACCUACCUAUAAGACUGGGAUAACUUCGGGAAACGGGCGCUAAUACCGGAUAAUAUAUUGAACCGCAUGGUUCAAUAGUGAAAGACGGUUUUGCUGUCUCUUAUAGAUGGAUCUGCGCCGCAUUAGCUAGUUGGUAAGGUCACGGGUUACCAAGGCAACGAUGCGUAGGCGAAGUGAUAGGGUGAUAGGCCACACGGGAACUGAGACACGGUCCAGAGUCCUACGGUAGGCAGCAGUAGGGAAUCGUCCGCAAUGGGCGAAAGCCUGACGGAGCAACGCCGCGUGAGUGAUGAAGGUCUUGGGAUCGUAAAACUCUGUUAUUAGGGAAGAACAAAUGUGUAAGUAACUAUGCACGUCUUGACGGUACCUAAUCAGAAAGCCACGGCUAACUACGUG